rnacentral:rRNA from 1 species
AUUAAGCCAGAUGUGAAAUCUCGAGGCUCAACCUCGAAACUGCGUCUGGAACUGGUGGUCUAGAGUCUCGGAGGGGGAAGCGGAAUUUCGCAUGUAGGGGUAAAAUCCGUAGAGAUGCGAAGGAACACCAGUGCCGAAGGGGGCUUCCUGGACGAGAACUGACGCUGAGGCGCGAAAGCGUGGGUAGCAAACAGGAUUAGAUACCCUGGUAGUCCACGCCGUAAACGAUGUGCACUAGAUAUGGUGGGUUUGACCCCUGCCGUGUCGAAGCUAACGCAUUAAGUGCACCGCCUGGGGAGUACGGUCGCAAGACUAAAACUCAAAGGAAUUGACGGGGGCCCGCACAAGCGGUGGAUUAUGUGGUUUAAUUCGAAGCAACGCGAAGAACCUUACCUGGGCUUGAACUCCUAGGAACCUUGCCGAGAAGCUAGGGUGCCCUUCGGGGAAUCUAGUGAGAGGCGCUGCAUGGCUGUCGUCAGCUCGUGUUGUGAAAUGUUGGGUUAAGUCUCGCAACGAGCGCAACCCCUAUUCUUAGUUGCCAGCAUUAAGUUGGGCACUCUAAGGAGACUGCCUGGGUUAACCAGGAGGAAGGUGGGGAUGACGUCAAGUCCUCAUGGCCCUUAUGUCCAGGGCUACACACGUAAUACAAUGGUGCAUACAAAGGGAAGCGACCUUGCGAAAGUGAGCAAAUCUCAAAAAGUGCAUCUCAGUCCGGAUUGGAGUCUGCAACUCGA